AUUGACCGCUGCCGGCAGGCCUAACACAUUCGCGUCGAGCGAGCGGCGGACGGGUGAGUAAUGUAUGCGGAUCUGCCCGCUAUAGCGGGAUAACUACUGGGUAUGGUGGCUAAUACCGCAUACUUUGUGCUUAACCCAUCUGGGAUUAGCUAGUAGGUGGGGUAAAGGCUCACCUAGGCGACAAUCUUUUGAUGGUCUGAUAGGAUGACCAGCCACACUGCGCAGGAUCCACGACCCCGACUCCUACGGGAGGCGGCUGUGGGGAAUAUUGCACAAUGGGCGGAAGCCUGAUGCAGCCAUGCGGCGUGUAUGAAGCAGGCCUUAGGGUUGUAAAGUACUUUCAGCGGGGAGGCGUUACCCGCAGAAGAAGCACCGGCUAACUCCGUGCCAGCAGCCGCGGUAAUAC
rnacentral:rRNA from 1 species